rnacentral:rRNA from 1 species
GAUGAACGCUAGCGGCAGGCCUAAUACAUGCAAGUCGAACGAGAUUAAGAGGCUUGCUUCUUAUGAAAGUGGCGCACGGGUGCGUAACGCGUAUGCAACCUACCUCAAUCAGGGGGAUAGCCCGAAGAAAUUCGGAUUAAGACCGCAUAAAAACACAGGAUAGCAUUAUCCAAUGUUCAAAUAUUUAUAGGAUUAAGAUGGGCAUGCGUGUCAUUAGCUAGUUGGCGGGGUAACGGCCCACCAAGGCGACGAUGACUAGGGGAUCUGAGAGGAUGACCCCCCACACUGGUACUGAGACACGGACCAGACUCCUACGGGAGGCAGCAGUAAGGAAUAUUGGUCAAUGGAGGGAACUCUGAACCAGCCAUGCCGCGUGCAGGAAGACAGCCCUCUGGGUCGUAAACUGCUUUUAUUCGGGAAUAAACCUUUCUACGUGUAGGAAGCUGAAUGUACCGAAGGAAUAAGGAUCGGCUAACUCCGU